UUCCUCUCAGGAUAACAUCUGGAGAGUUUCCAGUAUUUUACCAGUCUUGGCUAUGGAAGGGAAAGUCAAGCAGUGACAUACCCAUUCCAUUCCUGGCUUGGACAGUGGCUAGGAGGUGGAAGGCAAACUGCUACAAGU